GCCCCCCCACGAGAGUUCUGAACUGCUCCGCCGUACUUCUGGGGCCGCGAAGGUAGAAAAUGGCAUCCCGCCUGGCUGGUGGAAGGCUGCGCGCGGUGUUGUGGCAGGCGAGGACACUUGAGAAGAUCCUCAGACAUCCCAGAAGGUACCUCAACAAAAAUGAAAUGUUUUUCUUGUUGACACACGUAAGUGCUCAACCCACAACCUUCCUGAUGACUGCCAGGCUGUUUUAUUUUUUAUUCUAUUCCCCCC